rnacentral:rRNA from 1 species
AUUGAACGCUGGCGGCAGGCUUAACACAUGCAAGUCGAGCGGGGUGAUGGUGCUUGCACUAUCACUUAGCGGCGGACGGGUGAGUAAUGCUUAGGAAUCUGCCUAUUAGUGGGGGACAACAUUUCGAAAGGAAUGCUAAUACCGCAUACGUCCUACGGGAGAAAGCAGGGGAUCUUCGGACCUUGCGCUAAUAGAUGAGCCUAAGUCGGAUUAGCUAGUUGGUGGGGUAAAGGCCUACCAAGGCGACGAUCUGUAGCGGGUCUGAGAGGAUGGUCCGCCACACUGGGACUGAGACACGGCCCAGACUCCUACGGGGGGCAGCAGGGGGGAAUAUUGGGCAAUGGGCGGAAGCCUGAUCCAGCCAUGCCGCGUGUGUGAAGAAGGCCUUAUGGUUGUAAAGCACUUUAAGCGAGGAGGAGGCUACUUUAGUUAAUACCUAGAGAUAGUGGACGUUACUCGCAGAAUAAGCACCGGCUAACUCUGUGCCAGCCGCCGCCGUAACAC